UCAAAAUCUCCUGCUUCUCUGGAGAUGACAAUCCUCUUCUCUAUCCUGGUUUCAGAGAUCCCUCCAUUCAUCGUCUGGUAGCAGAAAGAUUGAUUAAGGAAUAUAAUUUUUAUUGUUAUUUAUUCUAGAAAGUCUGACAGCAGAUUUGAAAUUGGGUUAGUAUUAUAGGUGUGGUAGUAGACAGAUGGGUUAUGGGUAGUCUUAUAGGUGUGGUACUGGACAGAUGGGUUAGUAUUACAGGUGUGGUACUGGACAGAUGGGUUAUGGGUAGUAUUAUAGGUGUGGUACUGGACAGAUGGGUUAUUGGUAGUAUUAUAGGUGUGGUACUGGACAGAUGGGUUAGUAUUAUAGGUGUGGUACUAGAUAGAUGGGUUAGUAUUAUAGGUGUGGUAUUGGACAGAUGGGUUAGUAUUAUAGGUGUGGUACUAGACAGAUGGAUUAGUAUUAUAGGUGUGGUAAUAGACAGAUGGAUUAGUAUUAUAGGUGUGGUACUGGACAGAUGGGUUAUGGGUAGUAUUAUAGAUGUGGAACUAGACAGAUGGGUUAGUAUUAUAGGUGUGGUACUGCACAGAUGGGUUAGUUUUAUAGGUGUGGUACUAGACAGAUGGGUUAUAGGUAGUAUUAUAGGUGUGGUACUGGACAGAUGGGUUAGUAUUAUAGGUGUGGUACUAGACAGAUGGGUUAUGGGUAGUAUAAUAGGUGUGGUACUAGACAGAUGGGUUAUGGGUAGUAUUAUAGGUGUGGUACCAGAAAGAUGGGUUAGUAUUUUAGGUGUGGUUCUGGACAGAUGGGUUAGUAUUAUAGGUGUGGUACUAGACAGAUGGGUUAUGGGUAGUAUUAUAGGUGUGGUACUGGACAGAUGGGUUAGUAUUAUAGGUGUUGUACUAGACAGAUGGUUCAUGGGUAGUAUUAUAGGUGUGGUACUGGACAGAUGGUUUAGUAUUAUAGGUGUGGUACUGGACAGAUGGGUUAGUAUUAUAGGUGUGGUACUGGACAGAUGGGUUAGUAUUAUAGGUGUGGUACUGGACAGAUGGGUUAGUAUUACAGGUGUGGUACUAGACAGAUGGGUUAUGGGUAGUAUUAUACGUGUGGUACUGGACAGAUGGGUUAGUAAUAUAGGUGUGGUACUGGAAAAAUGGGUUAGUAUUAUAGGUGUGGUACUGGACAGAUGGGUUAGUAUUAAAGGUGUGGUACUGGACCGAUGGGUUAGUAUUAUAGGUGUGGUACUGGACAUAUGGGUUAGAUUUAUAGGUGUGGUACUGGACAGAUGGGUUAGUAUUACAGGUGUGGUACUAGAAAGAUGGAUUAUGGGUAGUAUUAUAGGUGUGGUAAUAGACAGAUGGGUUAUGGGUAGUAUUAUAGGUGUGGUACUAGAAUGAUGGGUUAUGGGUAGUAUUAUAGGUGUGGUACUAGACAGAUGGGUUAGUAUUAUAGGUGUGGUACUGGACAGAUGGGUAGUAUUAUAGGUGUGGUACUAGACAGAUGGGUUAUGGUUAGUAUUAUAGGUGUGUUACUGGACAGAUGGGUUAGUAUUAUAGGUGUGGUAAUAGACAGAUGGAUUAGUAUUAUAGGUGUGGUACUGGACAGAUGGGUUAUGGGUAGUAUUAUAGAUGUGGAACUAGACAGAUGGGUUAGUAUUAUAGGUGUGGUACUGCACAGAUGGGUUAGUAUUAUAGGUGUGGUACUAGACAGAUGUGUUAUGGGUAGUAUUAUAGGUGUGGUACUAGACAGAUGGAUUAGUAUUAUAGGUGUGGUACUGGACAGAUGGGUUAUGGGUAGUAUUAUAGG
rnacentral:lncRNA from 1 species